UCACAUGUGGCGGGAGUUUUUGGGACGUGAACAUGGUGCGGCCGAAGAAGAAAAAUAUCCGUGAAGAGGCCGACAGUACGACUUCUGAAUUGUAUAAUUUAAGAAAAACGGGAGGACGUAAAACAAAAGCUCAAGAAAUAUUACCUAGUGAAGUUAUAAUAUUAGACUCGGGUGAUGAAAGAAUAGAGCCACACCCUGACAAAACUUCAA